rnacentral:rRNA from 1 species
UACGUAGGGUGCAAGCGUUGUCCGGAAUUAUUGGGCGUAAAGAGCUCGUAGGCGGUCUGUCGCGUCGGCUGUGAAAACCCGGAGCUCAACUCCGGGCCUGCAGUCGAUACGGGCAGACUGGAGUUCGGCAGGGGAGACUGGAAUUCCUGGUGUAGCGGUGAAAUGCGCAGAUAUCAGGAGGAACACCGGUGGCGAAGGCGGGUCUCUGGGCCGAUACUGACGCUGAGGAGCGAAGCGUGGGAGCGAACAGG